GAUGGCGUAAGCUAUCRCUUUUGGAUGGACCCGCGGCGUAUUAGCUAGUUGGUGAGGUAACGGCUCACCAAGGCGAUGAUACGUAGCCKAACUGAGAGGUUGAUCGGMCACAUUGGGACUGAGACACGGCCCAAACUCCUACGGGAGGCAGCAGUAGGGAAUCUUCCACAAUGGACGCAAGUCUGAUGGAGCAACGCCGCGUGAGUGAAGAAGGCUUUCGGGUCGUAAAACUCUGUUGUUGGAGAAGAAUGGUCGGCAGAGUAACUGUUGUCGGCGUGACGGUAUCCAACCAGAAAGCCACGGCUAACUACGUGCCAGCAGCCGCGGUAAUACGUAGGUGGCAAGCGUUAUCCGGAUUUAUUGGGCGUAAAGCGAGCGCAGGCGGUUUUUUAAGUCUGAUGUGAAAGCCCUCGGCUUAACCGAGGAAGCGCAUCGGAAACUGGGAAACUUGAGUGCAGAAGAGGACAGUGGAACUCCAUGUGUAGCGGUGAAAUGCGUAGAUAUAUGGAAGAACACCAGUGGCGAAGGCGGCUGUCUGGUCUGUAACUGACGCUGAGGCUCGAAAGCAUGGGUAGCGAACAGGAUUAGAUACCCUGGUAGUCCAUGCCGUAAACGAUGAAUGCUAGGUGUUGGAGGGUUUCCGCCCUUCAGUGCCGCAGCUAACGCAUUAAGCAUUCCGCCUGGGGAGUACGACCGCAAGGUUGAAACUCAAAGGAAUUGACGGGGGCCCGCACAAGCGGUGGAGCAUGUGGUUUAAUUCGAAGCAACGCGAAGAACCUUACCAGGUCUUGACAUCUUUUGAUCACCUGAGAGAUCAGGUUUCCCCUUCGGGGGCAAAAUGACAGGUGGUGCAUGGUUGUCGUCAGCUCGUGUCGUGAGAUGUUGGGUUAAGUCCCGCAACGAGCGCAACCCUUAUGACU
rnacentral:rRNA from 1 species